rnacentral:misc_RNA from 1 species
UAAUUUUUAAUUCGGUUAGGUUUUAAUAAAAUACAUGACAGAUUAGCAUCCUCAACACUAUCUUCCUCCUUGCUUGUGGUGAAAAUGAACAUUAGGUUUUAAUUUUGUAUCUUGAUACAGGAAAGCAACAUCUCAUAUCUGUAUUUAUAAUAUCAAGAUACAGAUUAAUUUCACCAAUUUUGGUUAAUAUGAAAACCUUUAUUGCUAAACAAAUGAAGGGGCUG